rfam:Mus musculus chromosome 11, GRC primary reference assembly.
UGACAGGAUUUUUUUAAAGCCACAAACUAUAUAAAUUAAUUUCUAU